GGGCUGGUCACUGUAAGGGAAGGGUCUCUACUUGGAGAUCACCUCCUUUGGAUUAUUUAGUGAGCCCUGAGCCUUGGAAAGGGGAGUGCUUGCAGAUUUGCUGAGGAGAAGAGCUACAUAAGGAUUCAAGAUUGUUGCGUGAACAAAUAUCACUCUGUUUCCACGGCCUGACCAUCUUAUGGGCAAGCAGAGAGCUGAUGACCAAAUCAAGAUGCUGUAAGGUGGAGAGAGUGAAUCAGGUGUGAACUGCAAAUUGACCAAGCGCUGAUGAAGGAGCAGCCGCCACGACUGCUGAGAAUCCAUCCUUCUUUAUUUCUGAAUGACAUCAAGUAGUGUCAGAUGGAUGAAUGGGGUUUCACACCAAGUUGACUCUGCUGUUUCAAGUCUGAGUCAUGCAUGGACCAUGCAGGGAUGAGUCAGGACAGCUCUGCUCUGUGACCCCUCCUGCCACCAGCUGCCUUCCCCCCAGGCACAUUCUGCCCUGGUGGUGUGUGUUCAGCCCUGUGCACUGUUCCUGAGAUGCUCUGCUGGGAGUGCAGGCAGGAGAGGAAAUCCAUUGCACUCUGCUCCUGGCUGAAGGCACAUAGCAUCCAAUGGUACUGCUGCAGCUGGCUGUGUCCAGGAUCCUGCUCUGCUGGCUAAGGAGGAACUCCAGAUGUCUGAGAAAGCUGCUUGAAAUUCAGAUUUCUCAAAAAUUCUUCUGUUCACGUUGUGAUACCCAUCUCCAUUCCCAUCCUGUAUGCAGACCUCGGUAGCUGUUGAGGUCUGGCAUCACUUACCUGGUCAACUUAAUGUUUGCAGUUAUAAAUGAGAGGGAAUAGAAGAAAAAUCAUUUUAUUGCUUUGUGAAGCACUCUGCCAAUUUUCCAUGUCAUAGAAGAGAGAUGCCAUAGUCUGUAGUUAUUACUGAAGUCUAAUUAUGUAAAUGACAUAAUUUAAUAAUGAUUAUUAAAUCCAAGCAAGCUUUAUUUCUUUUCCUUAUUAUUGAUGGCUCUCUUUGAUAGCAAAUGACAAGGUGCUUAUCAUAAAAUUAAUUUUCAUGGAGACGUUGCCUCAUUUGGGACACUUCAGGCAUGGGACUGAGGGUGCUCAGCCGACCUGUUAUCUCUGCAGGACCAAACGUUGUCCAGGAGGACAGCAGGAAAGGGAGAGAAAACUUGCACAGCAGCAAAUAUUUAAUUAAAAGAGCUGCUGGGGCUGCCUGGUUGUGGCAG